CUUGUUUGGAGGUGAAAUAAUCAUCUAUCGUUAUACACACACACUGAUGAUGAUGGUGAUGAUGAUUAUCAAAUCCCUUUAUCCUCGUUUAUCCCAAAUCAAGUUUGAAUUUGCUGAUUUCAGAGAUCUCAAAUCCCAAAACGCGCCAACCAAUUUAUUAGGGGUUCUUCAUCUCAUCUUCGAUUGAUGGUUGUUCAGCUGCAAGAACACCCACCUUCUCUUGAUUCAACUUUAGAAUUGCAUCCAGGAUUAAAGUUAGGCAAGUGGUGAAAAAUGCUGUAUUUGGAUUUCAAGCUUAUCUAUGCUCGUAAUUGAGCAGGUAAUAGUAAGAGGAAGGGUGCCAGAGAAUCUAGGUUUCCUACCAAGGUUAUCUGAAUUAGGAGGAUGUGUAUACUCAGGAGGUUUCUCUGCAAGUACAUGGAGGCAAAGAAGAUUGACAAGCACGUGUACCAUGAUAUGUACUUGAGGCAUGUGUUCAAGAACAAGCGUGUAUUGAUGGAAAGUAUUCACAAAUCUAAGGCAGAGAAGGCCAUAAAGAAGACUUUGUCUGACCA